CCGGGCGUGGUGCAGGGUGCAUGGUUUCUCCUCGUCAGCAAGAUGUAAACGGUCAGAAGCAGACCGGGGUUCGACUCCCCGCGCCCGAG